UACAGAGGUCUCAAGCGUUGUUCGGAUUCAUUGGGCGUAAAGGGCGCGUAGGCGGCAAUUCAAGUCAGCUGUGAAAUCUCCGGGCUUAACUCGGAACGGUCAGCUGAUACUGCUUUGCUAGAGUGCAGAAGGGGCAAUCGGAAUUCUUGGUGUAGCGGUGAAAUGCGUAGAUAUCAAGAGGAACACCUGAGGUGAAGACGGGUUGCUGGGCUGACACUGACGCUGAGGCGCGAAAGCUAGGGUAGCAAACGGG
rnacentral:rRNA from 1 species